rnacentral:rRNA from 1 species
CCUACGGGGGGCAGCAGUGAGGAAUCUUGGUCAAUGGGCGCAAGCCUGAACCAGCCAAGUAGCGUGAGGGAUGAAUGCCCUACGGGUUGUAAACUGCUUUUACACGGGGAUAACACUCGGCACGUGUGCAUGUUUGUAUGUACUGUAUGAAUAAAGGUAGGCUAAUUCCGUGCCAGCAGCCGCGGUAAUACGGAGGGGCCGGGAGUUAUCCGGAUUUAUUGGGUUUAAAGGGAGCGUAGGGGGGUUGUUAAGUCAGUUGUGAAAGUCCGCGGCUCAACCGUGGAAUUGCAGUUGAAACUGGAAGCCUUGAGUGCAGAAAGGGAAGGCGGAAUUCGUGGUGUAGCGGUGAAAUGCUUAGAUAUCACGAAGAACUCCGAUCGCGAAGGCA